UACAGAGGUCUCAAGCGUUGUUCGGAUUCAUUGGGCGUCAAGGGUGCGUAGGCGGCGAGGUAAGUCAGAUGUGAAAUCCCGGGGCUUAACCCCGGAACUGCAUUUGAUACUGCUUUGCUUGAGGACUGGAGAGGAGAUCGGAAUUCACGGUGUAGCAGUGAAAUGCGUAGAUAUCGUGAGGAAGGCCAGUGGCGAAGGCGGAUCUCUGGACAGUUCCUGACGCUGAGGCACGAAGGUCAGGGGAGCAAACGGG
rnacentral:rRNA from 1 species